CACUGACAACACCACCUGGAACCAAAAAGCUGUGACAGUUGUUUCCACACGGACCCAGUCCCUCCUGAGAAGAUUUGCUGCUUCCGAACUUCCAUCCUCAACCUCCAGACACACCUUCUAACAAUAAAACUGUUAAACCGU